rnacentral:lncRNA from 1 species
CCUGAGCAGCCGGAGCGACGUUGUCAUCGGGAGCGACAUCGAUGGUAGCGAGUACAUCCUUUGAGAAGAGAUAGGAGAAGCCAGCGAGGAGAGAGAGACAUGUAUUCGGGUGAGGAUUAGCAAUGGAUUAGUACGCAGUUACUACAGCGCCAUAAAUUUUGUUGACAACGAGUCCGGUGUCCAGUUUUGAUCCAGCCGUGACUCGGGAAGUAGUGUUUCGUUUGAUCUACAUAUUUUGAAAAAGUGCUUGACAAUCGGUAGCUAGUGAAAAAACUAUAUCAGUGGAAAUUUCGUGAAUUCCGUAACUCGGAGAUUCUUCCAUAAGCACUGAUUCGUACUUGACAGAGGUCGAAGAUGCCUAGUUCUUCCCGAUACGGUUCGACUUGCAACUACUAUCCCUACGUUGUGCUGAAAAAUUCGUUCAAGGUCUUCCGUCUUGGAUACAACGGCAGUUCAGCUUCAGCGGCAGAAGCGGCGACUUCAGGAGCGACAUCAGUAGCAACGCAGUCUCCUUAGAGCGACGAUGGAGAGAGGCAACGGUCGCAGUUCCUCCAACGUCAUUGC